GACGAACGCUGGCGGCGUGCUUAACACAUGCAAGUCGAACGGAAAGGCCCUGCUUUUGUGGUGUGCUCGAGUGGCGAACGGGUGAGUAACACGUGAGUAACCUGCCCUUGACUUUGGGAUAACGUCAGUAAACUUGGGCUAAUACCGGAUAUGAGCUCCUGCUGCAUGGUGGGGGUUGGAAAGUUUCGGCGGUUGGGGAUGGACUCGCGGCUUAUCAGCUUGUUGGUGGGGUAGUGGCUUACCAAGGCUUUGACGGGUAGCCGGCCUGAGAGGGUGACCGGCCACAUUGGGACUGAGAUACGGCCCAGACUCCUACGGGAGGCAGCAGUGGGGAAUAUUGCACAAUGGGCGGAAGCCUGAUGCAGCAACGCCGCGUGCGGGAUGACGGCCUUCGGGUUGUAAACCGCUUUCGCCUGUGACGAAGCGUGAGUGACGGUAAUGGGUAAAGAAGCACCGGCUAACUACGUG
rnacentral:rRNA from 1 species